ACUCUCAAUGUUCCGAUCUCUCAUUGUAUUAAAAAAAUACGAGGAGUAAAGAAUAUAUUUAUAUAUAAUAUGUGACUUGUAUUUUUUUUUAUUAGUAUAUAUUGUGAAAUUCGACAAGCUGGAAAGGUGGAGUCCUCCAUAUAUAUACGCUUUUUCUGUCCCUUUGUCCCUUUGUACGCUUUAAUCUUUGAAACUACGCAACGGAUUUUGAUGCGGUUUUUUUAAUAGAUAGAGUGAUUCAAGAGGAAGGUUUAUAUGUAUAAUAACAUCCACUAAAUAGUGGAGAAGUACUGUUAUUUUUGAGGUUUCUAAUGUGAUGUCGUAAAUAAUUACAUUUUCGUUACUCAGGCGCGGAAAGCGCUACCUAUCCGCACCCGUGCGAAGCCAGGGCGGGUCGCUAGUUAGUAAUAAAUCCAGAAAACGAACAUACUGAAGAAACUACUGCUACAACAAUAAUUAAUAAGCCAAGUAAAGCAACUACUUCUAUUGCGACAGCAACACCAAAACUAUAUCAACAGCACAAUUAUUACCACCAUCUGCACCAAUAUUUAUACCCGAUAAUAAUAAUAGUGCGGAAAAUUUAACAAAUACAAAUAACGAAUCUACAACAGCAUCACCAUCAUCAUCAGUUACAAGCGAGAAAAAUAUAGAUAAUAUUCUAGAUACAUUAGAAAUUGAAAGUGAUUAUAAAAAUACACCAACUAUCCCAUCAGCACCUCCACCCGAGCCAAACAAUACGAAUAAUGAAAAAAAUCUUAUAAUUUCUGGUGAUACUGAACAAAAAAAUUAUUUUCCAACAAACUUGGAUAAAAGAAUUUUUAAUAUCAAUGAAAAUUUAAAAAAUAACGAAAACAGUGAUUUUUUAACAACCGUUGAUAUUAAUAAACAGCAAAAAAUUAUAGAAAAUAAAUAAAAUGGAUAAUACAAGACGUAAUAUUAAUAAUGUAUCUAAAUCUGGUGAAAUUAUCGAUGUUUAUGGUAGUCAAGUAAUAAAAAAACAUCAAUCCGUAAAUAAUACGCCUAAAAUAACUACAUCAGUAUCUAUUGCUGCGGCUAUAGGAUUAAUAAAUCAAAUGACAACAUCAUCAUCAUCACAAUCAUCAUCAUCUGUUCCAACACAAAUAGUAAAAACAAGAGAUUUUUAUGCAAAUAAACAAUUAAAUAAUAAUUUACGAAAAAAAGAAUAUGUUAGAUUUAAUAAUAAUUUUAAUUAUGCUAAGGAUAAUAAUAAGCCUUCAAUUAAAAUAGGACAAACAACUCAACGUUAUUUUCCAAUAAUCGAAUUCUAUACUGGAAAUCAGUAUCGUUACGGUGCGAAAGGAAUGGUCAUAUGUCUAUGCUAAAAUAUUUUGCUAUGCUAGAAUUUGUUUUACGCCUAAUAUCUUUUCGAAUAUUAAAGAUAUCGAAAGAUUGCAAAAUAUCAAUUUUGAUGUAAAUUAAAUGUGCUAUAUUUCUGUCCCCCUUUUUGUUUGCAUGUUAUAUACUCUCCAUGUAAAUUGAAGAAAAAAGUGGAAAUUACUCGCUAUAUGGGAACAACAUUUUAUUUACGCAUAAAAAAAUUGAGAUUGGUUGUAAAAUUAUCAUAAAUUGGAAAAAUUGUUAAAACUUAGUAAAAAAUAUUUGUGUCAAAAUAUUCGUGCAUUUGUUUUUGUUUGGAAUGCCAUGAGAGGGACAAGGACGAAGAGCCUUUGUCAUAGUGACUCAUCUGGCAGCCAGCCACCCUCUCCUUUCCCCUUUCCCCAGGCGUCAACUACCUGAAAAUUUCACUGCUCUCGGAAGAAUUUUCAGGUAUAUCUCUUUCAGUUGACCAGUGAGUGUUACCCGAAGCAAAGUGUUAAGUGAAGUGUUUGAAAAAUGGAUUGAGUCACUUGCCCUUCAAUAUCAAUAUCAGAGCGCCUAUCACUUUGCCCUUCAAUACAGUGGAAGAGCUCAACGCAUUUGACGAAAUCCUCAGAGACAGUCCCGAAAAGAAGAAAAUCUUGCAAUCAGUGGGGGCAACCAGAUGUACGGGAUCAACGAGUCUGAAGGAAAGUCUCACAGCGACUCUAUCCGGCCUUCUAUCGAAAAAAUUACAACUCGAGUAUUCGGCUUGUGGAAAGGAAACUCGUGGCCACAAGAAGCUUUCUUUCAGAGAUACAUCCAUAUAUGGAUGUUUAGAAGCGGUCCUUAUCGAGAGACAUAGUGUUUCAGCCACUUUAAUCAUCUCAAGGAUGAGUAGAUGGUUUACAGGAGCCAUUGAUCGCUCAGGAAACGGAAGACGGCGUACAGCACCACGUCCCAGGCAAUAAGAUGACCACUCAUAGCCAUAUAA